GGAGUUGCAGGUUGGGGUUUACUCCAAUUCAUUGAGUUAAGAGAGCUUUGGUGGAGGAGGAGAGUGAGAAUGACGGAGGUAACGACGCCCACAGAGAACUGUGGUGGUUCAUAAAUCAUGAUGACAGAGCCUGUAGAUAAUUAUCUUUUUUGUUUUUUUUUUAUUUCAACCAAUUUUCUUAGUAAUAUUAUUAUUUUAUGAUGUGGUGCUUAUAUGGGAUAUAAAUAGGAAGACUCGUCGUUAAGAUCAUGGUCAAAUUUGAGUUUCAUGUCACAAAAGAUAUCUUCAAUAGACCGUUAUUUUUGGUAAAACCCGAAUAUGUUGGACCUCCUAAAAACAUUAAUCCUUUAAUGUAUAUUUUCCAUCAUUUUCUACCUUUGUGUUACAAAAU
rnacentral:lncRNA from 1 species